UACGUAGGGUGCGAGCGUUAAUCGGAAUUACUGGGCGUAAAGGGUGCGCAGGCGGCUCCGCAUGUCGGGCGUGAAAGCCCCGGGCUUAACCCGGGAAUGGCGUCCGAAACUAUGGAGCUGGAGUGUGGCAGAGGGCGGUGGAAUUCCACGUGUAGCGGUGGAAUGCGCAGAUAUCAGGAGGAACACCAAUAGCGAAGGCAGCUCGCUGGGACGGUACUGACGCUAAGGCGCGAAAGCGUGGGGAGCGAACAGG
rnacentral:rRNA from 1 species